UACGUAGGGUGCGAGCGUUAAUCGGAAUUACUGGGCGUAAAGCGUGCGCAGGCGGUCCGCAAAGUCUGAUGUGAAAGCCCCGGGCUCAACCUGGGAACUGCAUUGGAAACUAACGGGCUCGAGUGUGGCAGAGGGGGGUGGGAAUUCCACGUGUAGCAGUGAAAUGCGUAGAGAUGUGGAGGAAUACCGAUGGCGAAGGCAGCCCCCUGGGACAUGACUGACGCUCAUGCACGAAAGCGUGGGGAGCAAACAGG
rnacentral:rRNA from 1 species